rnacentral:rRNA from 1 species
GACGAACGCUGGCGGCGUGCCUAAUACAUGCAAGUAGGACGCAGGUGCGAACGGGAGAGCAACGCGUAGGUAACUACCUGGGAGAGGGGGCUAACUAUGGGAAACGAUAGCUAAUACCGCAUACUAGUAGAGGGACCUACGUUGUAUUUGCUAGUAGGACGGGUAAUUGCCUACCUAGGCAACGAUCCAUAGCCGACCUGGCGGGGUGAUCGGCCACCCUGGGGCUGCAGCCCGGCCCAGACCCCUACGGGGGGGAGCAGUAGGGAAACUUCGGCAAUUGGGGGAACCCUGACCGAACAACGCCGCCUGAGUGAAGAAGGUUUUCGGAUCGUAAAGCUCUGUUGUUAAGGAAGCGGUACUUAACCAGAAAGGGACGGCUAACUACGUGCCAGCAGCCGCGGUAAUAC